rnacentral:rRNA from 1 species
GAUGAACGCUAGCGGCAGGCUUAACACAUGCAAGUCGAGGGGUAUAGGUUUUCGGACCUAGAGACCGGCACACGGGUGCGUAACGCGUAUGCAAUCUACCUUUCACAGAGGGAUAGCCCAGAGAAAUUUGGAUUAAUACCUCAUAGUAUAGCAGUUUCGCAUGAAACCACUAUUAAAGUAUCAACGGUGAAAGACGAGCAUGCGUCCCAUUAGCUAGAUGGUAAGGUAACGGCUUACCAUGGCUACGAAGGGUAGGGGUCCUGAGAGGGAGAUCCCCCACACUGGUACUAGGACACGGACCAGACUCCUACGGGAGGCAGCAAUGAGGAAUAUUGGUCAAUGGACGCAAGUCUGAACCAGCCAUGCAGCGUGCAGGAUGACGGUCCUAUGGAUUGUAAACUGCUUUUGUACGAGAAGAAACAACAUUACGUGUAAUGUCUUGACGGUAUCGCAAGAAUAAGGAUCGGCUAACUCCGUGCCAGCCGCCGCAGUAACAC